rnacentral:rRNA from 1 species
GACGAACGCUGGCGGCGUGCUUAACACAUGCAAGUCGAACGGAAAGGCCCUGCUUUUGUGGGGUGCUCGAGUGGCGAACGGGUGAGUAACACGUGAGUAACCUGCCCUUGACUUUGGGAUAACUUCAGGAAACUGGGGCUAAUACCGGAUAGGAGCUCCUGCUGCAUGGUGGGGGUUGGAAAGUUUCGGCGGUUGGGGAUGGACUCGCGGCUUAUCAGCUUGUUGGUGGGGUAGUGGCUUACCAAGGCUUUGACGGGUAGCCGGCCUGAGAGGGUGACCGGCCACAUUGGGACUGAGAUACGGCCCAGACGCCAACGGGAGGCAGCAGGGGGGAAUAUUGCACAAUGGGCGGAAGCCUGAUGAAGCAACGCCGCGUGCGGGAUGACGGCCUUCGGGUUGUAAACCGCUUUCGCCUGUGACGAAGCGUGAGUGACGGUAAUGGGUAAAGAAGCACCGGCUAACUACGUG